AGCAGUAGUGGCUCACUGGUUAAAGGCUCUGGGUUACCGAUCAGAAGGUCGGGGGUUCAAGCCCCAGCACUGCUA